rnacentral:rRNA from 1 species
UGGGGUGCAGCAGGCGCGAAACCUUUACAAUGCACGCAAGUGUGAUAAGGGGACCCAAAGUGCUUUACUCUGUAAGGCUUUUGCCAAGCGUAAAAAGUUUGGCGAAUAAGUGGUGGGAAAGACUGGUGCCAGCCGCCGCGGUAACACCAGCGCCACGAGUGGCAAUCGUAUUUAUUUGGCCUAAAGCGUCCGUAGCUGGUUAAGUAAAUCUCUUGUGAAAUUGUUUGGCUCAACCAAACAGCGUGCAGGAGAGACUGCUUAGCUAGGGACCGGGAGGAGUCAGAGGUAUGCUGGGGGGAGCGGUAAAAUGCAAUAAUCCUCGGUAGACCACCUGUGGCGAAGGCGUCUGACUAGAACGGGUCCGACAGUGAGGGACGAAAGCCAGGGGAGCAAACCGGAUUAGAUACCCGAGUAAUCCUGGCCGUAAACGCUGUGAGUUAGGUGUUGUAUAUUCUUCGUGAAUAUGCAGUGUCGUAGCGAAGGUGUUAAACUCACCGCCUGGGAAGUAUGGUCGCAAGACUGAAACUUAAAGGAAUUGGCGGGGGAGCACAACAAGGGGUGCGGCGUGCGGUUUAAUCUAACUCCACACAGAGAAUCUCACCAGGAGCGACGGCAGGAUGAAGGUCAGUCUGAAGGGCUUACCUGACGAGCCGAGAGGUAGUGCAUGGCCGCCGUCAGCUCGUGCCGUAAGGUGUCCUGUUAAGUCAGGCAACGAGCGAGACCUGUAUCUACAAUUGCUAACGACUAAAUUUUAGAAUCGAGCACAUUGUAGGGACCGCCUUGGAAACAAGGAGGAAGGUGCAGGCAACGGUAGGUCUGUAUGCUCCGAAUCUUCUGGGCUACACGCGCGCAACAAUGGUACAGACAAUGGGUUGCAACUCCGAAAGGAGAAGCUAAACCUCGAAACUGUAUCUAAGUCCAGAUUGAGGGCUGUAACCCGCCCUCAUGACGCUGGAAUCCCUAGUAAUCGGGCGUCAUCAGCACCCGGUGAAUAUGUGCCUGCUCCUUGCACUAAUUCGCCGA